AAACCGUUUGUGGACCCCUGUAAAUAUUUGGCAAGCGUCGCUCCUGAUUAUACGGGCCACUCAGAAAGACAGGGUCCCUUUAUAAACCCAAUAAGAUGCUCUCUGUCAUGAAUUAGCACAGGUUGCAAACAAAAUACACAAAAUCUACAGCAAAGAACGCACAUCAAAUCCUAGCAACGAAACCAAGCUCAGGUAGACCACUGGCGUAUUUACAGUAAUACAUGCGGCAGUAUUUGGAAAGGGACCUCAUACUUACAACUGAAUUCUAUUAAAACAAUCGGAAGCGUCGUUGCACCUGCCUAGUAAAUGAAGUGAAAAUUCUAUAAUAUACACCAAAUAACUUCCUUCAAGCAAAUAGUUACUGAUGGCACAAACGCAGUCUCAUGUUAUAACUACGUCUGCGACUUGCUGAUUUAAUUUCCCCAAAAGACUUACUAAUUAUACCUGUGUUAAUCACACAACAUGAUAGUGACGGUGGAUGACAACAGAAUGCUUUUCCUUACUGACUGCGACUUCAAUACACAGGAAUGGAUCCAUCUGAACGCCAACCUUAACACAAGUGAUACUUUCCUUUUUACAACUACGCGAUCUCAUCUAGGCACACACAUUCAAGUCAUAUUAUGUGACGACAAUCAACAGUCACUACACAAACCCGCCCGAUUGUAGAGCCUGACCUUUAACUCUGUAGAUUUCCUGGAAAGGGCAACAUAUAUACUUGUUAUCCAAUCACAUUCAAUUAAAAGCACAUUGAACUUUCGUAACAAGCCCAUUCCUUCACUACCACAAUGCCGACGCUGCCAAGAACACUUUCCUCGAAACCAUAAGCUUUGUCCAUUCAUACUAAAUUACUAGACAGAGGAAUUUAGGAUACAAUCACCAAAUCUAAACAGUCGUCUGCGGUGAACACACGUCACUGGAUAACGCCAAGGUCUGUUGGAAUAUUGACAGAAAAUGGUUUCGCAUCAAAGAAUAUAGCCUCUGACUUACCUCUGCCUAAUCCCGUUCCUGUCACAACAAAACCUGCUUUUGUGAUACAUCCCGAAAGCAACACGUCCUCCGGCAGCGUACACUGCCGAUAAUCUGAUUGUCUAUGACGUCAGCUGAUUGUUGACGUAUUUAUUCUGUGAUGUCAUUACUUAUGGGGACACAAUAAACAAUGACGUUGCUUCAUUGUGGACGUCACAGAUUCCCGCUUGGUGACAUCUCCACAGUGUCCCAAACCGUUUGUGGACCCCUGUAAAUAUUUGGCAAGCGUCGCUCCUGAUUAUACGGGCCGCUCGGACAGACAUGGUCCCUUUAUACACCCAAUAAGAUGCUCUCUGUCAUGAAUUAGCACAGGUUGCAAACAAAAUACACAAAAUUUACAGCAAAGAACGCACAUCAAAUCCUAGCAACGAAACCAAGCUCAGGUAGACCACUGGCGUUUCUACAGUAAUACAUGCGGCAGUAUUUGGAAAGGGCCCUCAUACUUACAACUGAAUUCUAUUAAAACAAUCGGAAGCAUCGUUGCACCUGCCUAGGAAAUGAAGUGAAAAUUCUAUAAUAUACACCAAAUACCUUUCUCAAACAAAUAGUUACUGAUGGCACAAACGCAGUCUCAUGUUAUAACUACGUCUGCGACUUGCUGAUUUAAUUUCCACAAAAGACUUACUAAUUAUACCUGUGUUAAUCACACAACAUGAUAGUGACGGUGGAUGACAACAGAAUGCUUUUCCUUACUGACUGCGACUUCAAUACACAGGAAUGGAUCCAUCUGAAAGCCAACCUCAACACAAGUGAUGCUUUCCUUUUUACAACUACGCGAUCUCAUCUAGGCACACACAUUCAAGUCAUAUUAUGUGACGACAAUCAACAGUCACUACACAAAUCCGCCCGUUUGCAGAGCCCGACCUAUAACUCUGUAGGUUUCCUGGAAAGGGCAACAUACUUGUUCUCCAAUCACAUUCAAUUAAAAGCACAUUUAACUUUCGUAACAAGACAAGUCCUUCACUACCACAAUGCCGACGCUGCCAAGAACACUUUCCUCGAAACCAUAAGCUUUGUCCAUUCAUACUAAAUUACUAGACAGAGGAAUUUAGGAUACAAUCACCAAAUCUAAACAGUCGUCUGCAGUGAACACACGUAACUGGAUAACGCCAAGGUCUUUUGGAAUAUUGACAGAAAAUGGUUUCGCAUCAAAGAAUAUAGCCUCUGACUUACCUCUGCCUAAUCCCGUUCCUGUCACAACAAAACCUGCUUUUGUGAUAUAUCCCGGAGGCAACACGUCCUCCGGCAGCGUACACUGCCGAUAAUCUGAUUGUCUAUGACGUCAGCUGAUUGUUGACGUGUUUAUUCUGUGAUGUCAUUACUUAUGGGGACACAAUAAACAAUGACGUUGCUUCAUUGUUGACGUCACAGAUUCCCGCUUGGUGACAUCUCCACAGUGUCCCAAACCGUUUGUGGACCCCUGUAAAUAUUUGGCAAGCGUCGCUCCUGAUUAUACGGGCCGCUCAGACAGACACGGUCCCUUUAUAAGCCCAAUAAGAUGCUCUCUGUCAUGGAUUAGCACGGGUUGCAAACAAAAUACACAGCAAAGAACGCACAUCAAAUCCUAGCAACGAAACCAAGCUCAGGUAGACCACUGGCGUUUUUACAGUAAUACAUGCGGCAGUAUUUGGAGAGGGACCUCAUACUUACAACUGAAUUCUAUUAAAACAAUCGGAAGCAUCGUUGCACCUGCCUAGUAAAUGAAGUGAAAAUUCUAUAAUAUACACCAAAUAACUUCCUUCAAGCAAUUAGUUACUGAUGGCACAAACGCAGUCUCAUGUUAUAACUACGUCUGCGACUUGCUGA